rnacentral:pre_miRNA from 1 species
UGAUGAUGACGAUGAUGAUGAUGAUGAUGAAGAUGAUGAUGAUGAUGAUGAUGAUGAUCAUCAUCAUCAUCAUCAUCAUCAUUAUGAUGACGAUUA